GACGAACGCUGGCGGCGUGCUUAACACAUGCAAGUCGAACGGAAAGGCCCUGCUUUUGUGGGGUGCUCGAGUGGCGAACGGGUGAGUAACACGUGAGUAACCUGCCCUUGACUUUGGGAUAACUUCAGGAAACUGGGGCUAAUACCGGAUAGGAGCUCCUGCUGCAUGGUGGGGGUUGGAAAGUUUCGGCGGUUGGGGAUGGACUCGCGGCUUAUCAGCUUGUUGGUGAGGUAGUGGCUUACCAAGGCUUUGACGGGUAGCCGGCCUGAGAGGGUGACCGGCCACAUUGGGACUGAGGUACGGCCCAGACUGCUACGGGAGGCAGCAGUGGGGAAUAUUGCACAAUGGGCGGAAGCCUGAUGCAGCAACGCCGCGUGCGGGAUGACGGCCUUCAGGUUGUAAACCGCUUUCGCGUGUGACGAAGCGUGAGUGACGGUAAUGGGUAAAGAAGCACCGGCUAACUACGUG
rnacentral:rRNA from 1 species